UGUGUCUGAUUAAAACCAGGAGCUGACGUCAUCAAGGGACGUCGUACGGCUACGCCCCUUUUGGAUUUCGGGCGGCCGCAGCACCUUUACCGUGAGGACACACAUGUGAGGCGAGGGGGAAAGCAGGAGCGGGCCGAGCCGGAUCUGCGGAGAUGACAGACUAACGCCGGCAUCCAAAACUUUUGGAGCGGCGAUUGGUCGCUGCCUUCUGUUUACAUGGACUCUGCGAUGAUUGCCGGAUGAACUUGAAUGUAGCAAGCCCGGGCCUGAAGAUGAUCCUGGUCGACGUGAAGACUACGGUUACACUAUGCUUUCUCUCCUCCAAAUCAGCGGUCUCUUAACUUCUGCCUUGCUACUGUUAGAAGCGUAGGUCGCUGCCUUCUGUUUACAUGGACUCUGCGAUGAUUGCCGGAUGAACUUGAAUGUAGCAAGCCCGGGCCUGAAGAUGAUCCUGGUCGACGUGAAGACUACGGUUACACUAUGCUUUCUCUCCUCCAAAUCAGCGGUCUCUUAACUUCUGCCUUGCUACUGUUAGAA